UUUGGGCCGUUUUCAGUCAGAAUAUUAUCGAAAAUUAAUUGAAAACUAAAUCUGUAGAAAGCUAUUUCAUCGCUUGUUUGGACGAGGGUUCGAUUCCCUCCGACUCCACCA
rnacentral:tmRNA from 1 species